AGCCACAAUAAUACUUCCCUUUUCCCAUUCUUCUCUUCCAUUCUUAUCAACUUUCAUUAUUUUAUUCGUUGUUUCCGAUUUCCACGUCGCCACCCUCCUCCUCCAAUACUCUUCUUUCGCUUUUCCUUACUUCCUUUUUCUGUCUUCUUCACUCUUCCUUACGUCUCUCUCCCUCGAAACCCUUCAAUUGGCUGGCCAUAGUUUGGAUCAGCUCGCCGAUGGCGGCGACGCAUGAGGAGACGAAAAUAGAGGUUGGUGAUCGUUGUUGGUGCCUUUGAGGAACAUUGUUGUUCUGAGUCAUUUACUCGGAGAAAACGAUAUCCCGGAGGUGCUUCAUCAGCGUUUAAGGCGACCAAUGUUGGCGAAGGCGGUCGGUGGAAUUGUUGGGCGGAGCCGCUAUCAGCUGGCACUCGAUUUUGGAGCCUCCUAAAUGACGACUGCCAAUGAGGAAGACGAUCAACUGGAUUCCGAUAUUGACUUUCUAUCGGACUCGGAAUCGGAGUCGGGGUAUUCAUUGUAUAUUCUUUAGAAAUUGAAAGCGGAGUUUCAUGGCUGACAUCAGGGCAUACAACAGUAUCCGAUUGAGCGCCAACGUAACUGUUCAGCUCUGUUUUUUCUGAUUCUCUUUGUGAAUGUUCCUUCUUGGUGGCUGAUUCAGAUGGAGUUGAAGGUAAUGUUUUCUUCUGCUUUGAGGGUAUCGGCUAUGGUGGUGGGGUUUCUUGGUCUUUGUCUACGUGAACCGGGAUGGAUAUUGAAGAUUUAUGGAGGUUGUGACCGGUUGUUAAUAUGGAAGGCUAGGAGUGGUACUGGGUGGCGGUGAAGAUGAUGGACAGGCAAGACAUAAGAGAAAUUAGAAAAGGACACAUUUGCUAGAAGAGGAUUGUGAGACGUCUGAGGAGGUGAACUCUCUUAAAAUUUAUAUAUUAUGCUCACCAUGUGUUUGCUUAAAUACCCCAAAGACUAACAACAGUGGCACUGCUUAUUUAAGAAACCAGUUAAUGCGAUUUUUAACUAUUGGAUUCAGGAUUUUUGUUGAUUAUUUGGAGUAAAAUGCUCACGUAACAUUAUAAAGAAAAAUACUCAAAAAAAAUGGAUCCCAAAAGAUCCCAAAGAAGUUACAACCAAGCUGAUGAUAUAUCACUGUAUCUUUUAUAUAUAAUUUAGUAAACAAUAAUGAAAUGCUUAUAAAUGUAUUUGUGUAAACAAAAUUUGUUUUGUGGGAAGAAUGUGCUUAUUGAUAUGAGCAUAAAUUCUGCAUAUGUCAUGGCUAUUUGUGGUGCCCAACAUUUCAUCUAUAUUGAGAACCAGUAUUUUAUUGUUGUAACUCUAAAUGAUGGAUGAACCGAUGAAGUGAAUUUCAACUCAAUCGUUGGCAGCAAUCAGACAAGAUGAUAUAUCUUGGAGCAAAUGUUGUUGAAAGAUUAAAGGCACAACAGGCUUCAACUUUUCAUAGGAUUAUUCCAUGAUGAUCGUGUCUUUGGUUGCAAAUGGUUGGUUCUGAACAGGUCAUAUGCAUAGAAUAAGGAUGGCAGUGUUUAAAGAUUUUAAUGUUGAGGGGCAAAAAUGGUAUUAUAAGUUUAUGGAAAGAACGGGUGAUAUGCAUAGAAUAAGAAUGGAAGGUUUAAAAGUAAAAUGUUUUUUUUUAAAGAUUAAGAAGAUCUGUUUAUUUAUUGCUUUAUAUUGCAGGGCAUGAACAUGUGAAGGCAGUAACAGCACCUGACUACGGUGGUUAAUUACAUUAAACUUGGAAUGAUGUUCAUGGAUUCACUUUAACCCUAGCAAAUGAGAAAUCACAUAAGAAGCAUACGCUUUUAGAGAAGAUGGUUACAUACCUGAGUCAAAGAAAGCCAAAUUACUCCAAGGACAUCUUGACCGAAUACAAUUGAAUUAUGGAGAUGUCGCAAGUGAGUCUUGUCAUCAUGCUGAGAUGGCGAACAAGGGUAGUAAUGGACCUCCACAGUUGGCGACUCAGCAGAAAAAGAUACUGAUGUGCAGCUGUGGCAGCACGACAUGGUCGCUACAGAGACAAAAAUGAUAUGCCUGAAGGUGUUGUAACGCAGGCUAAAGCUCAGUUAGUUGGAAUCCAUGAGAGAGUAAGCAGUGAUGCUGGAAACAAUACUCAAUCCGAGGUUUCUUCAACUGCCAUUAAUCCAACUGCAGAUUUUUUUUCCAAGAUAUAUAUUUAUUUACCAAUAUAGGCAGUGUACUUAGGUUUGUAGGUUAUCAACGAAUGAUAAAGUUUUCUUGAAAGAAACCAUUACGUGCAUUUUUCUUUUUUAGGUGUUAAAUGCACUAACAUAGCAAUAUACUUUGGCUUUCCACAUUUUUUCUCUUUUUUGAAAUUUGUUUUGAUUUUUUACCAAUAACCAGCAAUGCAUAGCAAUGUACUUUGAAUUUA